rnacentral:misc_RNA from 1 species
CAGGGGUGAGUAGCCAUUCUGCGUCACAGCGCUGUUCGAUUUAUUUUAUGUCAUGCAAAGAUGUCCACAUCAUUUUUUUGAAACAUAGUAUGCAUUAAAUAUGUUAGGAGAUGGGUGAUACGAGCUAGCAUAUUACAUGGACCCACUCUUAAUAAUUAGGCAAUGGUUAACACUUGCCAUUUUCAAUGAACUCUUUUUUUGCUUUCCUUUUCCAAAUAAACUGCGAUACUAAAUCCUGAUAUAUCUGGAAUGUGAGUAAAUAUGGCUCAGUGGUCAUAACUUUUUCCAACUGUAGCACUUUUACCAUAGACAGGAGUUGAAUAUUUUGUAGGCCAAUUAACAAAUUUUAGUUGUGGGUCUUGAUUGAUAAAAACUCUAAUAAGGAUUGAUCUGUAAACUCAACUAUUGUUGGAUCUGAUAUUUUUUCCUAGAAGUAGUUGUUUAACUUAUUGUCUUUCCCUUGUAUUAUAAGUUUUAUGAUAUUCAUAUAGCAUUGUGUGGGUGCACAUGUGUGUGUGUGUGCGUGUUUUAAAAUAGGGAUUGCAUUAAUUUUUGCAGUAAUGAUUGCAGCUUCUGAAGCCAG